rnacentral:lncRNA from 1 species
ACCACGGAUACCGAAAAUGAAUGACUGUGUCAGUAACGUCAGGAAAAGGACCAGUGGAGUCUGCCUUGUGUUCAGCUGGGUUUACAACAAUGGCUGGGAAGCAUCCAACAGUGAUUAUGUUCUCUCCACGUCAAAACCACCAAGCGAAAAUAAAAGCAGCAGUCAGCCAAAUGCUUUGUCUACACCAUGGCAAGCUAUUAGUUGGACUGAAGUGACUCUCUGCCUUCCCUUUCAUUGUCUCAAUAGGGUGGAGGAGAGGCUUUAAUCAGUGGGGAGACCAGAAAUCUAGCUUUGUGUUUCUUGAUGCCGAGAUAAAAUUAACCUGUUGAUAGAUACUUUCACUUUUCCACUAGAUGGUGGGGCAUUAGACCCACAGUACUAUAUAUAUUAUAUGAAUUUUCACAGAGUUGCUGGGACUCUCCAUUUUCCAAUAUAUGGACAUAAAGCUUCCCAAACUCCUACUUUCUUCCACCUUAAAUCCUAUAAUAUAGACAUUAUCAUGGGGGAAUAUCUUUAGCCUGAUAUUCCAGAUACUUCAUCUAACUAACUGCAUCCUUUUGUGGCAUACCUUUCUGGUGGUUUAUGUAUUUCAGACCGGUGUUUCUCAGCCUCCACAGUAC